rnacentral:rRNA from 1 species
CAGUCGCCGCGGGAAUACGUAGGGUCCGAGCGUUGUCCGGAAUUACUGGGCGUAAAGAGCUCGUAGGUGGUUUGUCGCGUUGUUCGUGAAAACUCACAACUCAAUUGUGGGCGUGCGGGCGAUACGGGCAGACUGGAGUACUGCAGGGGAGACUGGAAUUCCUGGUGUAGCGGUGGAAUGCGCAGAUAUCAGGAGGAACACCGGUGGCGAAGGCGGGUCUCUGGGCAGUAACUGACGCUGAGGAGCGAAAGCGUGGGGAGCGAACAGGAUUAGAUACCCCUGUAGUCCCUGUCUCUUAUAC